rnacentral:snoRNA from 1 species
AAGACUAUACUUUCAGGGAUGAUUUCUGUGGUUCAUUACUAAAGAAGUCUCUCUGAUCCUAUACAGCACCCAAAACUAUGAGAAAGAGCCAGAGCAUACAUAAAGCCAGUUCGAGGUGUGGCUUUCCCAACUGCCUUUUACCAAUUAUGAUCGCUUUUCUCUUCCUUUGGAAGUAGGUGAAGGAGAGAAUGCAGUUUGAAUAG